rnacentral:rRNA from 1 species
GUGAGGAAUAUUGCGCAAUGGAGGCAACUCUGACGCAGCCAUGCCGCGUGCAGGAAGAAGGCGCUACGCGUUGUAAACUGCUUUUAACCGGGAAGAAACCCCAGGACGUGUCCUGGGUUGACGGUACCGGAGGAAUAAGCACCGGCUAACUUCGUGCCAGCAGCCGCGGUAAUACGAAGGGUGCAAGCGUUAUCCGGAUUCAUUGGGUUUAAAGGGUGCGUAGGCGGAGCGUUAAGUCAGUGGUGAAAUCCUGCAGCUCAACUGUAGACUUGCCAUUGAUACUGGCGUUCUUGAGUGCGCUUGAAGUGGGCGGAAUGUGCCGUGUAGCGGUGAAAUGCUUAGAUAUGGCACAGAACACCAAUUGCGAAGGCAGCUCACUAAGGCGAUACUGACGCUGAGGCACGAAAGCGUGGGGAUCGAACAGGAUUAGAAACCCGGGUAGUCC